AUUGAACGCUGGCGGCAGGCCUAACACAUGCAAGUCGAACGAGUGGCGGACGGGUGAGUAAUGUCUGGGAAACUGCCUGAUGGCGGGGGAUAACUACUGGAAACGGUAGCUAAUACCGCAUACCAUCAGAUGGGCCCAGAUGGGAUUAGCUAGUUGGUGGGGUAACGGCUCACCAAGGCGACGAUCCCUAGCUGGUCUGAGAGGAGGACCAGCCACACUGGAACUGAGACACGGUCCAGACUCCUACGGGAGGCAGCAGUGGGGAAUAUUGCACAAUGGGCGAAAGCCUGAUGCAGCCAUGCCGCGUGUAUGAAGAAGGCCUUCGGGUUGUAAAGUACUUUCGGCGGGGAAGCGGUACCCGCAGAAGAAGCACCGGCUAACUCCGUGCCAGCAGCCGCGGUAAUAC
rnacentral:rRNA from 1 species